AUUGAACGCUGGCGGCAUGCCUUACACAUGCAAGUCGAACGGUAACAGGUCUUCGGAUGCUGACGAGUGGCGAACGGGUGAGUAAUACAUCGGAACGUGCCUAGUAGUGGGGGAUAACUACUCGAAAGAGUGGCUAAUACCGCAUGAGAUCUACGGAUGAAAGCAGGGGAUCGCAAGACCUUGUGCUACUAGAGCGGCCGAUGGCAGAUUAGGUAGUUGGUGGGAUAAAAGCUUACCAAGCCGACGAUCUGUAGCUGGUCUGAGAGGACGGUCAGCCACACUGGGACUGAGACACGGCCCAGACUCCUACGGGAGGCAGCAGUGGGGAAUUUUGGACAAUGGGCGCAAGCCUGAUCCAGCAAUGCCGCGUGCAGGAUGAAGGCCUUCGGGUUGUAGACUGCUUUUGUACGGAACGAAAAGCCCUGGGUUAAUACCCUGGGGUCAUGACGGUACCGUAAGAAUAAGCACCGGCUAACUACGUGCCAGCAGCCGCAGUAACAC
rnacentral:rRNA from 1 species